GAUGCACGCUGGCGGCGUGCCUAAUACAUGCAAGUCUAGCGAACAGACGAGGAGCUUGCUCUUCUGACGCUAGCGGCGGACGUGCGAGUAACACGUGGAUAACCCACCUAUAAGACUGGGAUAACUUCGGGAAACCGGAGCUAAUACCGGAUAAUAUAUUGAACCGCAUGGUUCCAUAGUUAAAGACGGUUUUGCUGUCACUUAUAGAUGGAUCCGCGCCGCAUCAGCUAGUUGUUAAGGUACCGGCUUACCAAGGCGACCAUGCGAAGCCGACCUGAGAGGGUGAUCGGCCACACUGGUACUGAGACACGGUCCAGACUACUACGGGAGGCAGCCGUAGGGACUCUUCCGCAAUGGGCGAAAGCCUGACGGAGCAACGCCGCGUGAGUGCUGACAGUAUUCGGAUCGUAAAGCUCUGUUAUUAGGGGAGAAAAAGUGUGUAAGUAGCUAUGCACGUGUUGACGGUCCCUAGCAAGAAAGCCACGGCUCACUCCGUG
rnacentral:rRNA from 1 species